rnacentral:piRNA from 1 species
UAUGUUCAUAAAAAUCAUCAU